ACGGAGGGUGCAAACGUUGCUCGGAAUCAUUGGGCGUAAAGCGCGCGUAGGCGGCUUGAUAAGUCGGAUGUGAAAGCCCUCGGCUUAACCGGGGAAGUGCAUUCGAAACUGUCAGGCUUGAGUAUGGGAGAGGAUUGUGGAAUUCCCGGUGUAGAGGUGAAAUUCGUAGAUAUCGGGAGGAACACCAGAGGCGAAGGCGACAAUCUGGACCAAUACUGACGCUGAGGUGCGAAAGCGUGGGGAGCAAACAGG
rnacentral:rRNA from 1 species